rnacentral:rRNA from 1 species
GACGAACGCUGGCGGCGUGCCUAACACAUGCAAGUCGAACGGAAAGGCCCUGCUUUUGUGGGGUGCUCGAGUGGCGAACGCGUGAGUGUCACGUGAGUAACCUGCCCUUGACUUUGGGAUAACUUCAGGAAACUGGGGUUAAUAUCGGAUAGGAGCUCCUGCUGCAUGGUGUGUGUUGGAAAGUUUCGCCGUUUGGGGAUGGACUCGCGGCUUAUCAGCUUGUUGGUGGGGUGGUGGCUUACCAAGGCUUUGACGGGUAGCCGGCCUGGGAGGGUGACCGGGCACAUUGGGCCUGAGAUAGGGCCCAGACGCCAACGGGGGGCAGCGGUGGGGAAUAUUGCACGAUGGGCGGAAGCCGGAUGCAGCGACGCCGCGUGCGGGAUGACGGCCUGCGGGGUGUAAACCGCUUUCGCCUGUAACGAAGCGUGAGUGACGGUAAUGAGUAAAGAAGCACCGGCUAACUACGUG